rnacentral:rRNA from 1 species
AACGAACGCUGGCGGCAUGCCUAACACAUGCAAGUCGAACGAAGCCUUCGGGCUUAGUGGCGCACGGGUGCGUAACGCGUGGGAAUCUGCCCUUGGGUUCGGAAUAACAGUUAGAAAUGACUGCUAAUACCGAAUGAUGUCUUCGGAUCAAAGAUUUAUCGCCCAAGGAUGAGCCCGCGUCGGAUUAGCUGGUUGGUGAGGUAAAGGCUCACCAAGGCGACGAUCCGUAGCUGGUCUGAGAGGAUGAUCAGCCACACUGGGACUGAGACACGGCCCAGACUCCUACGGGAGGCAGCAGUGGGGGAAUAUUGGACAAUAGGGCGGGAAAAGACCUCGAUCCACGCAAUAGCCGCGUGAGUGAUGAAGGGACCGUUACGGGUUU